GAUGAACGCUGGCGGCGUGCCUAAUACAUGCAAGUCGAGCGAACGGACGAGAAGCUUGCUUCUCUGAUGUUAGCGGCGGACGGGUGAGUAACACGUGGAUAAUCUACCUAUAAGACUGGGAUAACUUCGGGAAACCGGAGCUAAUACCGGAUAAUAUUUUGAACCGCAUGGUUCAAAAGUGAAAGACGGUCUUGCUGUCACUUAUAGAUGGAUCCGCGCUGCAUUAGCUAGUUGGUAAGGUAACGGCUUACCAAGGCAACGAUGCAUAGCCGACCUGAGAGGGUGAUCGGCCACACUGGAACUGAGACACGGUCCAGACUCCUACGGGAGGCAGCAGUAGGGAAUCUUCCGCAAUGGGCGAAAGCCUGACGGAGCAACGCCGCGUGAGUGAUGAAGGUCUUCGGAUCGUAAAACUCUGUUAUUAGGGAAGAACAUAUGUGUAAGUAACUGUGCACAUCUUGACGGUACCUAAUCAGAAAGCCACGGCUAACUACGU
rnacentral:rRNA from 1 species